CCCUUAGAUGUUCUGGGCCGCACGCGCGCUGCACUGAUGCAUUCAACGAGCCUAUCCUUGACCGACAGGUCCGGGUAAUCUUUGAAUCUGCAUCGUGACGGGGAUAGAUUAUUGCAAUUAUUAAUCUUCAACGAGGAAUGCCUAGUAGGCGCAAGUCAUCAGCUUGCGUCGAUUACGUCCCUGCCCUUUGUACACACCGCCCGUCGCUCCUACCGAUUGGGUGUGCUGGUGAAAUGUUCGGAUCGGCCGUUUGUCGCGGUUUCCGCGUCAUGUGGCUGAGAAGUUCAUUAAACCCUCCCACCUAGAGGAAGGAGAAGUCGUAACA
rnacentral:rRNA from 1 species